rnacentral:rRNA from 1 species
CCUACGGGUGGCUGCAGUGAGGAAUAUUGGUCAAUGGGCGGGAGCCUGAACCAGCCAAGCAGCGUGAGGGAAGAAGGUACAGCGGAUUGUAAACCUCUUUUGUCAGGGAACAAAGGCGGGGACUAGUCCCCGGAUGAGGGUACCUGAAGAAAAAGCAUCGGCUAACUCCGUGCCAGCAGCCGCGGUAAUACGGAGGAUGCGAGCGUUAUCCGGUUUUCUUGGGUUUAAGGGGUCCGCAGGCGGCCUGUUAAGUCAGCGGGAAAAGCCCGGGGCUCAACCCCGGCGAGCCGUUGAAACUGGCGGGCGGGAGUUGGAGAGAGGUACGCGGAAUGCGCGGUGUAGCGGUGAAAUGCUUAGAUAUCGCGCAGAACCCCGAUUGCGAAGGCAGCGUACCGGCUCCACACUGACGCUGAGGCACGAAAGCGUGGGUAUCGAACAGGAUUAGAUACCCCAGUAGUC